rnacentral:rRNA from 1 species
AUGAACGCUGGCGGCUUGCUUAACACAUGCAAGUCGAACGGUGAAGGCGGAGCUUGCUCUGCUGGAUCAGUGGCGAACGGGUGAGUAACACGUGAGCAAUCUGCCCCUGACUCUGGGAUAAGCGCUGGAAACGGCGUCUAAUACUGGAUACGAGCUGCGAAGGCAUCUUCAGCAGCUGGAAAGAAUUUCGGUCAGGGAUGAGCUCGCGGCCUAUCAGCUUGUUGGUGAGGUAAUGGCUCACCAAGGCGUCGACGGGUAGCCGGCCUGAGAGGGUGACCGGCCACACUGGGACUGAGACACGGCCCAGACUCCUACGGGAGGCAGCAGUGGGGAAUAUUGCACAAUGGGCGAAAGCCUGAUGCAGCAACGCCGCGUGAGGGACGACGGCCUUCGGGUUGUAAACCUCUUUUAGCAGGGAAGAAGCGAAAGUGACGGUACCUGCAGAAAAAGCGCCGGCUAACUACGUG